rfam:Triticum aestivum genome assembly, contig: Triticum_aestivum_CS42_TGACv1_scaffold_433534_5DL
AAAGUACUCCCUCCGUCCGGAAUUACUUGUCGCGGAAUUGGAUAAAAAUGGAUGUAUCUAGAACUAAAAUACGUCUAGAUACAUCCAUUUCCGCAACAAGUAAUUUCGGACGGAGGGAGUACAUG